GACGAACGCUGGCGGCGUGCCUAAUACAUGCAAGUAGAACGCACAGUUUAUACCGUAGCUUGCUACACCAUAGACUGUGAGUUGCGAACGGGUGAGUAACGCGUAGGUAACCUGCCUGGUAGCGGGGGAUAACUAUUGGAAACGAUAGCUAAUACCGCAUAAUAUUGAUUAUUGCAUGAUAAUUGAUUGAAAGAUGCUAUUGCAUCACUACCAGAUGGACCUGCGUUGUAUUAGCUAGUAGGUGAGGUAACGGCUCACCUAGGCGACGAUACAUAGCCGACCUGAGAGGGUGAUAGGCCACACUGGGACUGAGACACGGCCCAGACUCCUACGGGAGGCAGCAGUAGGGAAUCUUCGGCAAUGGACGAAAGUCUGACCGAGCAACGCCGCGUGAGUGAAGAAGGUUGUCGGAUCGUAAAGCUCUGUUGUAAGAGAAGAACGGGUGUGAGAGUGGAAAGUUCACACUGUGACGGUAUCUUACCAGAAAGGGACGGCUAACUACGUG
rnacentral:rRNA from 1 species